CUUGGCAAAUUACGGGAAAAUUCCUGUGAUGAUUCAAACGGAUUUCUGACCUAUCAACUUCAGAUGGCAAAGUAGGGGUUUGCCAUGGUGACAACGGGUGACGGGGAAUUAGGGUUCGAUUCCGGAGAGGGAGCCUGAGAAACGGCUACCACUUCCAAGGAAGGCAGCAGGCGCGCAAAUUACCCAAUGCUAAUUCGGCGAGGUAGUGACAAGAAAUACCAAUGUAGGACCCAACGGGUACUACGUUUGGAAUGAGUACAAUUUAAAAACCUUAACGAGGAACAAUUGGAGGGCAAGUCUGGUGCCAGCAGCCGCGGUAAUUCCAGCUCCAAUAGUGUAUAUUAAAGUUGCUGCGGUUAAAAAGCUCGUAGUUGGAUUACGAAGUGGUGUUUAAAUGUUAAUUUUGGUUGGUCUGUCCUUCGGGGCAUUCUGGCUGACUUUGGCACUUACUCACUGAUGUCAUUGUCUUUGCCCAAGGUAAUUGCCUUGUGUGCAUGGCAUUGACCUUCUAUUUUAUGGUAAUGAGGUCAUCUUUCGGGGUGACUCUUCAUUCCAUAUAGUUUACUUUGAAAAAAUUAGGGUGUUUAAAGCAGGCGAAAAGGCUUCGGAAUAUAUUAGCAUGGGAUAAUAGAAUACGAUUUAGGUCGUAAUUUGUUGGUUUCUACGGCUUAGGUAAUGAUUGACAGGGAUAGUUGGGGUCGCUCGUAUUGAGUUGUCAGAGGUGAAAUUCUAGGAUUAACUCAAGACGAACUAAUGCGAAAGCAUUCGGCAAGGAUGUUUUCAUUAAUCAAGAACGAAAGUUGGGGGAUCGAAGAUGAUCAGAUACCGUCGUAGUCUCAACUGUAAACUAUGUCGACCGAGGAUCCGGUAGCGUUACAUGGAUGACCUUCCGGGCACUCUGUGAGAAAUCAUAAGUAUUUGGAUUUCGGGGGGAGUAUGGUCGCAAGGCUGAAACUUAAAGGGAUUGACGGAAGGGCACCACCAGGAGUGGAAUCUGCGGCUUAAUUUGACCCAACACGGGAAAACUUACCAGGUCCGGGCACAGUGAGGAUUGACAGAUUGAGAGCUCUUUCUUGAUUUUGUGGGUGGUGGUGCAUGGCCGUUUUUAGUUGGUGGAGUGAUUUGUCUGGUUAAUUCCGUUAACAAACGAGACCUUAACCUAUUAAAUAGCUGCGCGAACCCAGGUUCUUUAACCAUUCUCUCCUUCGGGGGGGCGUGGUAUCAUCUCUUUGCUUUUCACCUUCGGGUGGGAGGUAGGGGGAUGAUAGGGCCUGAGAUGAGUUGGUGAUUUGGCUUCUUAGAGGGACUACUUGCAUCCUUAGCAAGGGGAGGCU
rnacentral:rRNA from 1 species